CGCGGCCUAUCAGCUUGUUGGUGGGGUAACGGCUCACCAAGGCGACGACGGGUAGCGGGUCUGAGAGGAUGAUCCGCCACAUUGGGACUGAGACACGGCCCAGACUCCUACGGGAGGCAGCAGUGGGGAAUCUUGCGCAAUGGCCGAGAGGCUGACGCAGCGACGCCGCGUGGGGGAUGACGGCCUUCGGGUUGUAAACCUCUUUCAGCAGGGACGAAGCGGAAGUGACGGUACCUGCAGAAGAAGCACCGGCCAACUACGUGCCAGCAGCCGCGGUAAUACGUAGGGUCCGAGCGUUGUCCGGAAUUAUUGGGCGUAAAGGGCUCGUAGGCGGUUCGUCACGUCGGGAGUGAAAACUCGGAGCUUAACUCCGAGCCUGCUUCCGAUAUGGGCAGACUAGAGGUAGGCAGGGGAGAGCGGAACUCCUGGUGUAGCGGUGAAAUGCGCAGAUAUCAGGAGGAACACCGGUGGCGAAGGCGGAUCUCUGGGCCGAUACUGACGCUGAGGAGCGAAAGUGUGGGGAGCGAACAGGAUUAGAUACCCUGGUAGUCCACACCGUAAACGUUGGGCGCUAGGUGUGGGAUCCAUUCCACGGGUUCCGUGCCGCAGCUAACGCAUUAAGUGCCCCGCCUGGGGAGUACGG
rnacentral:rRNA from 1 species